CGAGCUGCAACCAUCCAUCACAGGCUGGCCUCCAUGUACCACAGCUGUCUGAGGAAUCAGGUUGGUGAUGAACACCUUAGGAAACAACACCGGGUGCUGGCAGAUCUUCAUUACAGCAAGGCCGCAAAGCUGUUCCAGCUGCUCAAAGAUGCUCCCUGCGAACUGCUUAGAGUGCAGCUAGAGAGAGUAGCAUUUGCUGAAUUUCAGAUGACUAGUAAGUCUUACUUUUCAUUUCUCAGAUAUGUAUGCAUUGGCUUAGUGCUGGAUUGUCUUAGAGUAAGGCAGGCCUGUGAAUCUAAAUAAUACUAUUUUCUUUUUAAUUUGCCCCAUAGUUAAUGACUUUGGGUAGAGAGGGGGAGAAAUCACUACACUUUUUGAAGUGCUUUUUAAAACUUAGAGAAAUGUAUUAGAUUAUGUUCAGUGACUAGAAAUAUUGAGAUAUGGCCCAUGACCCCUAGUUUG
rnacentral:sRNA from 1 species